CGUGACUGAGGGACGUCGCCACAGGGGACAUCCGCUUCCCGUGAGCUCUGAAGCAUAGGAAGUAAGCAAGACGAUUAACGAACAUUUUCAAAACUCAACGGCUGAACCACCUUAAUCUCAUCAACACUUACACGAUGGCUCCUGUGGGCUGAAGCUUCCUGUCCCCCUUCCAAUUGUUUCAGCUAACCUGCCUCCAGCUUCUUCCGACCUGUGCCCUUGGGGGUCUCUCCAUUCUUCUGGGCUCGGCUACCCACUGCGAUGAUCUCCAGCUGGGACCAUGGAGACCUGGGCUAGAGUUUAUGCAUGGGUCACCCCCAAGGCAAAUAUUCAAGGAAAGUACAAGUGGCAAUUUUUAAAAAAUUAAACCUGCGCACUUACUGUCCAAAGGGCUUUGAUGAGUGUUGUACAAGCAACCUGAGGAAUUUGACAUCAACAUUCCAGAAAACCUGGAGGAAGGGAGUGAGAAGCAGGUCUACAAGCUAUUUUCUCCUGUUUUGGGAAAAGAAAGAAGGCAGGUGACACAAUCCUAUCAACUUAUAAACAUGCUGCUAAGAACCAACCAGUACAUUCCUUUCCUAGCAGAUACUUUCGGUAUGAUAUUCGUUGUCGUUUAAAAUUGUUCAUUGUUUAAAAAAAAAAAAAACCUGAAUUCUACUCCUGAAACCAAUAGUACAC